rnacentral:lncRNA from 1 species
AUGCUUUUUGUUUAUGAAACUAAUGUAUUUUGUUUUUUCUUCUUAUAUUUUACAGAGAAAGUAGAAGAUCCUGUCUAUUACAAAUUUGACAAUUCGUGUUUGGCGACCGACUUCACAAACUAUACUGCUGUGAAAUUCGUAAACGCUACACCAGUGCGAUAUGCAGAACGGAGUUACUACAGCAGCUUCACCUUUAAUCAUUCAGAAGAAUGCGAGGAGAAAGCCUGUCAGCAAGGAUCAUCCAGUGGAAAUAAUAAAUUUGAAUCAGGUAAGUGUGCUUUUAUUUGCACAUUUAUAGUCUGCUGUGCAUUUCAUUUCAUUUGCAGUCUAUUACUACUAGUCUUUUACUUGAACAGCAACAUCCAGCACUGUCAAACAUUGACUACACUCAAAUAGAUUUAGACUCAAAUAGACUGUGAAAAAAAAAAAAAAAAAAAAACCUUAAACACAUUCAAGUGCUGGAUUAUACCACAAAAUUCAUGCUAAAACCAGUAGACAUACAGUAAUUGCAUUUUUAUUCCGCAGAUGAAAAAACCAACUACAUGUCACUGGGCCUCUAUUGGCUGAGAAUUCUCUUUCUGAAGACUGUGGUGUUCAAUGUCCUGAUGACUUUCAAAGCAUGGAUGAACUAACGUGAGUGAAAUGUUAUAUCUUGUGACAGUGGGUCUCAUUCACUAACUGCAUGUUAACACAUUUGUGUAUAAAAAUAUUUUCACUUUAGUAUAGUGUCCAAUUCACACUAAUACGUAGUUGCUUAUUAGCAUGUCUAUUAUUAGCAUAUUGGCUGUUUAUUAGUGCUUAUAAAGUACAUAUAAUGCAUGACAUCCAUAAUCCUACGCAAUACCCUAAAUUUAACAACUACCUUAUAAACUAUUAAUAAGCAGCAAAUAAGGAGUUAAUUGAGGCAAAAGUCAUAGUUAAUAGUUAGUCAAUAGUGAGAAUUGGACCCUAAAAUAAAGUGUGACCAAAUAUUUUCAUACAGAAAUCAAGAUUUAUUAAUAGGUUGGCAGGGUAAUAUUUAGAACUAACUGAAACCACACAUACAAAAAAAAAAAAAAAAAAAAAAAAGACUCCUAUCAGACUGUUUUACAAUCAUUUAACAAAAAUGGUUUGCAAAAUGGCAUAGGUUCUAAAGAUAGUCACUCGCAUGUAGUCUUGGUCUAUUUAAAAGAUAUCUGAAGAGUGUCAACCUGGUUGUGAAUGGCACACUUGGCUUGAAGAUUUUGCCGCAAAUGCUCUCAGAAUUUUUUUCUACAAACAUACAGUAAGUAUGCAACUUAUAUGCAAUUAUUAGUGAAUGAGACCCAAUGUUUUAUUAGCAAACUUUACAAAUUAUGUGCUUUUUUGUGUGAAGAAUUACAGUGCAUUAUUUGUUUUUCAGAUGUCGCAAAAAUCCCCAUCAUUUUUCAUCAGUUGGAUUUUCAGUGGCUUCAACCAAGACAAAACAUCACAUUCGAGAGCCAUCAGAAUGGCACUGUUCUUGUCACACGAUGAUCACUGAAUUAUGAAACCUAUCUCAGUUAUGCUAUAUUGCUUAUGGUUUUAAGAAUUAUUUACUCUAUUUGAAUGUCGUCUGAAUGUUGUGCUUAUAUAGGCUUUUAUAAUUUUGGCCCAUCUAUUCUAGUUUAGGAUACAGUAGAAGUAUAAUAUAACACCAUGUAAUUGUUUCUAAUUUAGACAUAGCUCAUGUUUCAUGUCUCUGUAUUUUAAUGAUUUCUACAUAUCAUAUCAUAUCUUUUUAUUUUUUUUUUUUACUUUGAGGAUGUAUUACAUCUGAAGAGUUUUCUAUAUAGCUUUUGCUUUUUGCAACAUAUUUGCUUUCACAAUCACAUUGACUUUUGCUUCUUUUUGACAAUAAUCAGUAAUGACUUUCAGUAAUGGCUGUGUAUUGCGCAAAAAAAUAUGAAAAUAAAUUGCAUAAAUGACCAAACCGAGUUUUUUUUUUAAUCACAAGCAAAAAAUCUAACAAGAUGAAGGUAUAUUGGUAUACUCCAUGUUACAGUGAAUGUUUUUAGUGUAUUGAAAAGACAAUAGGUGUACUUGUGUACUAUUGUAUGCUCUUUUGUAGUUAUAAUAGUUUGAUUAAUGCAUUCACACUGAAAGGUGCACUUUACAUACCCAAAUAAUUCACUUAACCAAAAAAAAAAAAAAAAAGGCACCGAACCCCCAACUGCUCCCUGGAUGCCGCAGCAUAAAUGGCUGCCCACUGCUCCGGGUGUGUGUUCACUGCUGUGUGUGUGCACUUUGGAUGGGUUAAAUGUCAUACUUGGCUGUAUGUCACGUCACUUUACUUCACCGUAUUUAGCAUGUUGUCAAGCUAGUCCACUCAAAACACAGUUGUUUGGCUUCACUUGUGGACACUGCAAAUGCGCUUACUUAACAAAAAAACUACCAUAUAGACAUACGUAGACUAAAAUCACAAAUCACAUAUUAUUUUCAGUACACCUAGUAUGUGUUUCAUAAAUACUUACAGCACAUUUAAUUCAUUGCCUUUCAUAAUGCAAUUAAAACAUAAACUUUUCAUUUUAAUCUGUUUAUCUCAUUCAUUAUAAUACAUGUUACUCUGAUUUAAUGCAUCUUACCAUGAUGGUAAAUAAUCAUUCCUUUUAGUAUGUCUAUACAUUUUCCAGUUUGUAAAGUAUUGCAGCCUUUGUAUUGCUGCCGAUUACCCAACAUGCUUUGUGACUGGUCGCAAUCAAAUACUCACAUAGAUUGUGGAGUCUAGGGGACAAGAUGUCAGAUGUUGUGAUGUCUACAUAUUAGGACUGAAAUUACCCAGCCCUGGUCUAAAUAAUGGAAGUAUACAUGUUUGAUAGAUUUUUUUUUUUUUUUUUGUGAAGUUGGUGGAAAGAUGAAAAUGGGGAAGACAUUAAUAUGUUCUGGCAUUUGGGGAUUUAGAUGAGUUGUUAUAUAUUUUGAGUUUUGGGGUUACCAUGGAGCUCAUGUUUAUGUAGGGUAGCUGGUGUAUGAUGCUUUUAACAAGCAGUUACUAUGCAAAAACUAGUAUGUUGACCAAUCAUCUAAUCCCGCAAUUAAUAAUGAAAAUUGCAUUUUUUUUAAACUGUUUAUCAAAUCUAUUGAUUUCAAUAAUCAAAAUGUAAUUUUCAAUAAAUAAACACAAUACAUUUAAUUUUAAGUUAAAUUUUAAGUCAUUAGUUGCAUCCCAAAUGAUGCACUACACACUUAUACACUGUGUACUUAUGCACUAUGUUCUCAACCAUAUAGUAUAUAAACGUUUUGUCAUUCAACAUCAGUGUCUGAUAGAUAGGUUCGGUGCCUUGCUCAAGGGCACCUCAGUCAUGGUAUUGAAGGUGAAGAGAGAGCACUGUACAUUUACUAUCCCCACCUACAAUUCUGGCCUGCCCGAGACUUGAACUCACAACCUUUGACUUAGGAGGCUGUAUCUCCAACCAUUAGGUCACAACUUCCUCUAGAUCAGAUGACUUUACCCUGACGGAAUUUGAACACGCAACCUUCUGAAUCUGGAGUCAGACACGCUACCGUUGC